rfam:Loxodonta africana unplaced genomic scaffold scaffold_5, whole genome shotgun sequence.
CAAAGUGUAGCUUAACAGAAAGCAUCUGGCUUACACCUAGAAGACCUCAUUCAUAAUGAUCACUUUGA